UAUUCUGCCCCAUGGGGAAGGAUGAGAAGCUUCGACUAAGGUUCGACUCGAGCGAAGCGAGAGAACGUUGCCGCAGGCAACGGCCCGAAGGGCGAGG
rnacentral:sRNA from 1 species